rnacentral:tRNA from 1 species
GGCGCAUCGGUCGGGCUGGAGGCCGGCUAUACGCAAGUCGCGGCGGGCAUCGCCUCUCGGCUCGGUUCCGCCUUCGAGAUGCGCCGC